AUGCAAAUAAGGUAUAUCUGUUUUAUAUUUUUAAUACAUUUCCUAAAAUGUAUAACAACCUGUUCUUGUUUUGUCAUUGUGGGCUAUUGUGAUGUCAUUAUGGGGUAUUGUGAUUUAAUUGUUGGGUAUUGUGAUGUCAUUAUGGGGUAUUGUGAUGUCAUUAUGGGGUAUUGUGAUGUCAUUGUUGGGUAUUGUGAUGUCAUUAUGGGGUAUUGUGAUGUUAUUGUGGGGUAUUGUGAUGUCAUUAUGGGGUAUUGUGAUGUCAUUAUGGGGUAUUGUGAUGUCAUUGUUGGGUAUUGUGAUGUUAUUGUGGGGUAUUGGGAUGUCAUUGUGGGGUAUUGUGAUGUCAUUGUUGGGUAUGCACAGUAUGACAUAGACUCUUCAGUACAGUAUGACAUAGACUCUUCAGUACAGCAUGACAUCGACUAUUCAUUACAGUAUGACAUAGACAUAGACUCUUUAGUACUGUAUGACAUAGACUCUUCAGUACAGUAUGACAUAGACUCUUCAGUACAGUAUGACAUAGACUCUUCAGUACAGUAUGACAUCGACUAUUCAUUACAGUAUGACAUAGACAUAGACUCUUUAGUACAGUAUGACAUAGACUCUUCAAUACAGUAUGACAUAGACUCUUCAGUACAGUAUGACAUAGACUCUUCAAUACAGUAUGACAUAGACUCUUCAAUACAGUAUGUAAUAGACAUAGACUCUUCAAUACAGUAUGUAAUAGACAUAGACUCUUCAGUACAGUAUGACAUAGACUCUUCAGUACAGUAUGUCAUAGACAUAGACUCUUCAGUACAGUGUGACGUAGACUCUUCAGUACAGUAUGACAUAGACUCUUCAGUACAGUAUGUCAUAGACAUAGACUCUUCAGUACAGUGUGACGUAGACUCUUCAGUACAGUAUGACAUAGACUCUUCAGUACAGUAUGACAUAGACUCUUCAAUACAGUAUGACAUAGACUCUUCAAUACAGUAUGUAAUAGACAUAGACUCUUCAGUACAGUAUGACAUAGACUCUUCAGUACAGUAUGUCAUAGACAUAGACUCUUCAGUACAGUGUGACGUAGACUCUUCAGUACAGUAUGACAUAGACUCUUCAGUACAGUAUGACAUAGACUCUUCAGUGCAGUAUGACAUAGACUCUUCAGUACAGUAUGACAUAGACUCUUCGGUACAGUAUGACAUAGAUUCUUCGGUACAGUAUGAAAUAGACAUAGACUCUUCAAUACAGUAUGACAUAGACUCUUCAGUGCAGUAUGACGUAGACUCUUCAAUACAGUAUGACAUAGACUCUUCGGUACAGUAUGACAUAGACUCUUCGGUACAGCAUGACAUAGACUCUUCGGUACAGCAUGACAUAGACUCUUCAGUGCAGUAUGUGGAUGUUUCUCCAGCCCUGAGGCUCUAG
rnacentral:lncRNA from 1 species